rnacentral:rRNA from 1 species
UCCUACGGGAGGCAGCAGUGAGGAAUAUUGGUCAAUGGGCUUACGCCUGAACCAGCCAAGUCGCGUGAGGGAAGACUGCCCUAUGGGUUGUAAACCUCUUUUGUCAGGGAGCAAUUGGCGCUACGUGUAGCGUUAUCGAGAGUACCUGAAGAAAAAGCAUCGGCUAACUCCGUGCCAGCAGCCGCGGUAAUACGGAGGAUGCGAGCGUUAUCCGGAAUGAUUGGGCGUAAAGGGUGCGUAGGCGGCCUGCUAAGCCUGGAGUGAAAGGUACCGGCUCAACCGGUACAGGCUCUGGAAACUGGCGG